UUUUCAAUUUUAUUAGCUGUU
rnacentral:piRNA from 1 species